UUUUUACAGGAGCAUUAUUAACUGGCUGCUGACGUAGGUUAGGAGCUCGGUACUGCUGCUGCUGCUGUUGUGCACGUUGUGGCUGCUGAUUACGAUUGACCAGGCUUGACUGACCCUGAUAGCGUUGCUGUGGAUAAGCUUGCUGAGGAUUGGUACGAGUACGCGUGUUGUUUCCUAACUGUUGUCCCUGGAACUUCCUUUUUUUAUCUUCCAUCUGGCGGCGUUUGUUC
rnacentral:lncRNA from 1 species